UCCUCAUCAGUGCCAAGUUCCUGGGCUGGAGGAAGCUGAAGAGGGUGAUCAAGAGGAGGAAGAGCUGGCUGAUUGGAGAGACUUUGCUGAAGCAGGACAGGAGCAGGGUGGAAGACUACGUGUGCUUCAGCCUGCCCUACCUGCGGGACUCUCAGGCCAGCGUGAGAGCGGAGGCCAUCAGGUUCAUGGGGACUGCUGCGCAGCGCCUGGGGAGGAAUCCACCGAAAGAGACGCUGGAGGUUCUGUGGAAUGUCGUCAAGCACUUUGAUAAUGACCCGGAUGCCUCAGUCAGGUCCCAAGCAGGUCAGACCUUGCACACCCUGCAAACUGUUCGGGAGCUGCAGAGACAAAGAUGGUCCUUCCAAAGGCUGUGCUGCUGGCGCUAAUGAAAUGGGUGAAUGACAAUCUUGCUGCCACCAUCUUCCUGACGGAGGUCACCAGGGUGUCUGCAGAGUUUUUGACCUCUCCCACAGAGACCUAGAGCAGCUCGAGUCAUGCGGCUGAGCGCACACCCAAGCCAGAUACCCUGUUGGAGGCAAUGGAUUCAUCACCAGCUGCCCCCCAGAGGCUACAGGAGGUUCCAGCCUUGCUGGGCAGGGUCCGUGUCACCGUGUGGGCCCAGGCGGCUUGGGACAGCCGGGCAGG